CACCUCUCAGGGUCCCACCUGGAGAGUUUCCAGUACUCUACCAGUCUCAACUAUGAGAGGGAGAGUCAGGCAGAGACAUAUCCAUUCCAUACCUAGUUUGGGGAGUGGCUAGCAAGUGGAAGGCCAUCUGCUACAUGU
rnacentral:snoRNA from 1 species